AGUGAACGCUGGCGGUAGGCCUAACACAUGCAAGUCGAACGGCAGCACAGUAAGAGCUUGCUCUUACGGGUGGCGAGUGGCGGACGGGUGAGGAAUAUAUCGGAAUCUACUUUUUCGUGGGGGAUAACGUAGGGAAACUUACGCUAAUACCGCAUACGAACUACGGGUGAAAGCAGGGGAUCUUCGGACCUUGCGCGAUUGAAUGAGCCGAUGUCGGAUUAGCUAGUUGGCGGGGUAAAGGCCCACCAAGGCGACGAUCCGUAGCUGGUCUGAGAGGAUGAUCAGCCACACUGGAACUGAGACACGGUCCAGACUCCUACGGGAGGCAGCAGUGGGGAAUAUUGGACAAUGGGCGCAAGCCUGAUCCAGCCAUACCGCGUAGGUGAAGAAGGCCUUCGGGUUGUAAAGCCCUUUUGUUGGGAAAGAAAAGCAGCAGGUUAAUACCCCGCUGUUCUGACGGUACCCAAAGAAUAAGCACCGGCUAACUUCGUG
rnacentral:rRNA from 1 species